GGACUACCCGGGUAUCUAAUCCCGUUCGCUCCCCCAGCUUUCGCGUCUCAGCGUCAGGGGCAGGCCAGGAAGCCGCCUUCGCCACUGGCAUUCCUCCCGAUAUCUACGCAUUUCACCGCUACACCGGGAAUUCUACUUCCCUCUCCUGCCCUCGAGCCCGGCAGUAUCCCGCGACCUCCUACAGUUGAGCCGUAGGCUUUCACACGGGACUGACCAGGCCGCCUGCACGCGCUUUACGCCCAGUAAUUCCGGACAACGCUCGCCCCCUACGUCUUACCGCGGCUGCUGGCAC
rnacentral:rRNA from 1 species